GUAGCUCAGUUGGUGGAGUGUUUGCCUUGCAUGCACAAGGCCCUGGGUUCAAACCUCAGC
rnacentral:tRNA from 1 species